AGUUGCGCUGUGCCUUCAGAGGUGUCUGGCUGGACGCUAGAGAGGGGGUGGGGAGGAGCAUGAGAUCAGCCUGUGGAGGCAGGCACAGACUGCAGGACAAGGGUCUUCUCACCUAGAUCUAAUUACCAGCUUAUAGGAACUAAGGAAGAUAGAUGAAGAAAUUCAAAAAACCAAACCAAACCAAAUGACAAAAACCAAAAACCACAGCAGAAAACAUCUCAAGGAGGCAAUCAGCCAGAUCCAGAAUGAGGAAGAUUCUACGGGAUGAAGAUUCUGUUUCUCAUUGAAUCAGUGGCUUGCAAACAAAAAGAUUAAAGGGAGGGAAUUCCCUUAGGAAGCCAAAGCCACGUGUGGGGCCUUGUUUAUGUCUUGGAACAAAUCAGCUGUAAAAGCCAUCUCUGAGAUAAUCAAAGAGAUUUGAACGUGAACUUGGUAUUGGAAGAGAGUAAGGAGUAAUUGCUAAUUUUGUUGGCUACAAUAAUGGUCCGGUGGUUACAUUUGUUACUUGUUAGUUAUAGAUGCAAGUAAAUGAGAUGGCAGAUGUCUGGGCUGUGCUCUCAAACACCCGGAAAGAAGCUGGACAGGGAACCAGCUCUCUGGGGGAUGGGUCCCGUUCUAAAUGCCACUGGUCAGUUUGUCUUUGGUAACAGAGUGUGGCCCCACUGCUGUUCACACCACGAGGGACCGCAUGGCCACCGAGAGAGGAUCCAAGGCAGGGGACCACACCCUGGUCAGAGGUCCCCUGUCCUACUCCCUUCCUGUCAGUUUCUGGGACCUUUCUUGCCUUCAGUGACUUGGACGCUUUGAAGAAGGAUGGCCAGGCAUUUUGUGGACGGCCCCAGUGUGGACUUGCCUGCUGUUUUCUCACCAUCAGACCGAGGUUAUGGAUUUUUGGGAAGAAUACGAGGGUGAAGUGACUUUCUCACUUCAACCUCUUUUCAGGUUGCAAAACCUCGGGAAGCACAGGAUGUCCACGUGACUUAGGCUCAUUAACCUUCAUCUCUUGGUUAAGGCUGUGUCUGCCAGGCUCGUCCACUACUCUUCCUUUUCUAUACUCAGUGACUGAGUCACUAAACCCAGCCCACACUCCGGGGAUUUUAAGAGUGGAGGAAGGUCACGGAGAGAUUUAAGCAGGUUUAGUCGUGUCCUAGAAGAACUCCCUGCCUGACACGCGAGUGGGCAGUGAGAGUGGACAUGACCUGGAUUUGAGGGACGUUCCCAGUGUGACUCAGCACAAGCUGGGUCUCCGUGGCGCGCGAGGAAUGGGAGGAGGAUGGCCCACGGUUGGGGGGCUGGCGGCCUUUCUCGGCCCCUAAGCCAAGGCCUGCGCGCCCCCAGGAGCUCGUGUGUCCCCUGCCCGCCAGUGAGAAGCCCCUCUCCGCUCCUGGGUCCCGCCUCGACUCGGGGCGGAUCCCUGAGGGCUACUGGGGCCUAGAGACUGGCACACAGACAGCAGGAGUGUGGGGUCACCAAGGAGGGUCGCAGUUGGACCGCAGCGGUCGCGGGGCUGAAAGAAGCUGGAGGAAAACGAGUCCGCCAAAACCCUUGCUCCCCGCACGGCUAGCGCGGGUCACGCGUGUGUAACCAGGGCGUC